rnacentral:rRNA from 1 species
GUGGGGAAUCUUAGACAAUGGGGGAAACCCUGAUCUAGCCAUGCCGCGUGAUCGAUGAAGGCCUUAGGGUUGUAAAGAUCUUUCAGGUGGGAAGAUAAUGACUGUACCACCAGAAGAAGCCCCGGCUAACUCCGUGCCAGCAGCCGCGGUAAUACGGAGGGGGCUAGCGUUGUUCGGAAUUACUGGGCGUAAAGCGCGCGUAGGCGGACCAGAAAGUUGGAGGUGAAAUCCCAGGGCUCAACCUUGGAACUGCCUUCAAAACUCCUGGUCUGGAGUUCGAGAGAGGUGAGUGGAAUUCCGAGUGUAGAGGUGAAAUUCGUAGAUAUUCGGAGGAACACCAGUGGCGAAGGCGGCUCACUGGCUCGAUACUGACGCUGAGGUGCGAAAGCGUGGGGAGCAAACAGGAUUAGAAACCCGGGUAGUCC